GCCCCCAUAGUUAAGCUGGAUAUAAUAAUUCCUUGCGGAGGAAUCGUCCGGGGUUCAAAUCCUCGUGGGGGCA
rnacentral:tRNA from 1 species